GACCUCGGAUCAGGUAGGAAUACCCGCUGAACUUAAGCAUAUCAAUAAGCGGAGGAAAAGAAACCAACAGGGAUUGCCCUAGUAACGGCGAGUGAAGCGGCAACAGCUCAAAUUUGAAAUCUGGCUCUCGGGCCCGAGUUGUAAUUUGUAGAGGAUACUUUUGAUGCGGUGCCUUCCGAGUUCCCUGGAACGGGACGCCAUAGAGGGUGAGAGCCCCGUCUGGUUGGAUGCCAAAUCUCUGUAAAGUUCCUUCGACGAGUCGAGUAGUUUGGGAAUGCUGCUCUAAAUGGGAGGUAUAUGUCUUCUAAAGCUAAAUACCGGCCAGAGACCGAUAGCGCACAAGUAGAGUGAUCGAAAGAUGAAAAGCACUUUGAAAAGAGAGUUAAAAAGUACGUGAAAUUGUUGAAAGGGAAGCGUUUAUGACCAGACUUGGGCUUGGUUAAUCAUCUGGGGUUCUCCCCAUGCACUUUUCCAGUCCAGGCCAGCAUCAGUUUUCCCCGGGGGAUAAAGACUUCGGGAAUGUGGCUCUCUUCGGGGAGUGUUAUAGCCCGUUGUGUAAUACCCUGGGGGGGACUGAGGUUCGCGCAUCUGCAAGGAUGG
rnacentral:rRNA from 1 species